UAAGGAAUAUUGGUCAAUGGACGCAAGUCUGAACCAGCCAUGCCGCGUGGAGGAUUAAGGCCCUCUGGGUUGUAAACUCCUUUUAUCUGGGAAGAAAUGUACUUUUUCUUGAGUACUUGACGGUACCAGAGGAAUAAGCACCGGCUAACUCCGUGCCAGCAGCCGCGGUAAUACGGAGGGUGCAAGCGUUAUCCGGAUUCACUGGGUUUAAAGGGUGCGUAGGUGGGCAGGUAAGUCAGUGGUGAAAUCUCCGGGCUUAACCCGGAAACUGCCGUUGAUACUAUUUGUCUUGAAUAUUGUGGAGNUAAGCGGAAUAUGUCAUGUAGCGGUGAAAUGCUUAGAUAUGACAUAGAACACCAAUUGCGAAGGCAGCUUACUACACAAUCAUUGACGCUGAGGCACGAAAGCAUGGGGAUCAAACA
rnacentral:rRNA from 1 species